GACGAACGCUGGCGGCGUGCCUAAUACAUGCAAGUCGAGCGCUGACGGGUGUUACUUGUAUCCACUGUAUGAGCAGCGAACGGGCGAGUGACGCGUGGGUACUCUGCCUUCGCGCGGGAGACAACAAACGGGGACGAAUGCUAACUCCGCAUAAGAACUUUAAACACAAGUUUUAUGUUUGAAAGAAGCAAUUCCAUCACUCAAAGAUGAUCCCGCGGUGUUUUAGCUAGUAGGUGAGUUACAGGCUCACCAACGCGAUGAUACAUAGUCGACCUGUGGGGGGGGUCGGCGACAUUGGGACUGGGAAACGACACAAACGCCUACGGGAGGCAGCAGUAGGGAGUCUGCGGCAAUGGACGAAAGUCUGACCGAGCAACGCCGCGUGAGUGAUGAAGGUUUUCGGAUCGUAAAAUUCUGUUGGUAGAGAAGAGCGGGGGUGAGAGUGGAAAGCUAAUCAAGUGACGGUAACUACACAAAAAGGGACGGCUAACUACGUG
rnacentral:rRNA from 1 species